rnacentral:lncRNA from 1 species
UCAAUUAAUUCAAGAAAUCUCUCAAUUGAUAAAGGUAUUUUCGAAGUCAUCAUUUAUUUUGCGAGAUUUUAUGAGAUUUUGUUUUCAAAAUUACAACUUAUGUUGAAUUUUGGAUUGUAUGUAUUACGAAUUUUUCGUCAUUUUUUCGACUUUUAUGUGAGUUUGUUAACAUACUCAUCAAAUAUUUAUGCAUUUCGGAUUUUUAGUAUUUUAAACACUAUUG